rnacentral:lncRNA from 1 species
AUGUAUUUCCAGCAGCAGAAUCUGGGGCACUGGGAUGGAGGGUCCUGGGGGAGGAGAGCCAGCUGCCCUGGGAGCUCUGGUGCCCUGCGGGGAGGCCUCCUUGCCACCCAAGCCACCCCCACGCCGUCCCAUCCGAGUCCUCCUGCCAUCCAGGGGAGGUGGCCCCACGAAACCCAGGCCCCUGGACACCGCGUGGGUCUGUCUGAAGCUGUGAGCCCACAGACCCGAGGGCUCGGGGCCGGCCUGACUGCCAGGGGAAGUGAAGACCCUGGGGCUUCGAUUUCCCUUCACCCAGCCCAGACCCGGAGUGGCCUGGGGACCAGCUGGCACUCAGAGGGCCCCCACCCCCCCCCCGCAGGCCGGGCAGGCGGGCAGCACAGAGACUCUGGAAUGCUGGAGCGGUCAGGCAGUCCCAGAGCCAAGCUUGAGACGCUGGCUGGCUCGACCUUUCCGGAAGCCGGGGCCGGGUCCAGGCUUGGACAGAACAAGCUGGUUUUCAUCGAGGCCAGAAAACAUGAGGUGCUGGCCCAGCACGCGGGCAGCUCGUCCAGGGCCUGUGGGCGGCCUCCACUGCUGAGGCAGCCAGGCCUGUCCAGUCCGGUGCUGGCCUGGGGAGCCAUGCGGGCCAUCAGCUAGGGUGUCUGCUGGCCUGGUCUCCACCUCCAGCUUGUGGGGCCUGCAACGGGGGCAGGAGGGGGGAUCCUGCUC